UAAUAAAGAAUAAAUUUUUCAUGAUAGUAUUGAAAGAAUUUCUCUUUUUGUUCACUGUUAAUAAUUUUAAUUAGAAUUAUGGGAAUAGACAAAGAUGAAAUCCAAGGAAUACACUGGAUGUACCCUAUUGUUGGACUCCCACAGGCACCGCUCCCUAAAAAUGCUCCACCUGUCAUAAAAUGCAAGUCUAGUAAGAGUGUAGAAAUGACAAUGGAAAUCACAUUGAUUGGCGAUUUUUUUAGAAAUAAUCCUACACAAGAAACAACAGAUUUUUUAGUGGUUCCAAAAGGAAGUUCAUGUCAUAAUGUUUAUGAAGAUUACAUUGUAGUUCCUAAAACACGUGUAUUGACGUAUGAAAUUGAAUAUGAAUCUGAAGUUAUGAAGUCUAAAUUGGAAUCCAUUGUAGAUUUACAGUUGAGCACACAAAGUUAUGAUAUCCAAAGUGAAACAAUAUCAUUGGUCUUCAAGAUAGUAUUUACACCAAAGAAACCAUUCAGGUCUGAUAUUUUAUUGAAAAUAGAGAGUGUAAAAGAUGGAAUCUGGAGGUUUCCCUUGAUCUUGAUAGCUACUGCUCCUGAAGUGGAAAAAACCAUUAACAUAAAAGCAGUUGGUUUACAAAAGGAAUCUACUAUGGACUUUAGGCUGACAAGUCAGACAAGAUACACCGAACGAUUCACUGCCUACUUCCUACCUGGAAGCGAUCCAGAGUUUUUUGUAAAACCUGAGACUGGAGAACUUCCUCCAUUUUUUAGUGAAGGAAUACUCAUCUCUGUAGGAUUUAAACCGCAAAUGUACAGUAAGAAACACAAAGCAACAUUAGUAAUACAGACAGAAGAUACGUGCUGCUUGUAUGAAAUCAAUGGGUUACCACCAGAACCCACACCUCUGAUGAACGUAAAACCAAAAAUUAAUACUAGUAACAAAAUGUAUGACAGUAUGCCCAUUCGUCACCGCAAUUUUAUCCGUGAAAAUGCUGAACUCAUAAGGACCGGGGUGUCUUCUACCAUUAAGGGUGCUCCUUUGGUGAUGAAGAGAAAAUAAAAAAAAAAUUUCCAAAUCAUUUCUUGGUUUCAACCAGUAUUGAAUGUUUUCAUAUGACUCAUUAUAACCAAUUAUAAUUGUUGUUUGAUGUUUGAGAUAUUCCUGAGGAUUAAUAAUUUAACAAUAUCAGGUCUUCUAUAUUUUCUUGUAUUUUAAAAUGCUGUUCUAACCAAUCUCUA
rnacentral:lncRNA from 1 species